AGCUGCUCCGUUGCACACAUUGGAGAGAGAGUUUGCUGCGGGCUCUGUCUCUCUAAUAGACUGGCGAUUUGGUAAAAGGUUUUAGAGGGUUUUGUUUAACCAUUUCUGCAUGUGUUUUUAAUGAGCUCAUGAUGCUUCGUAACAAAGGCCAGGUUGUGAGGUUUGCAGCCUUUUUUCGGACCUGAUCCCUUCCCGCUGACCUGCAGAGUGAGCACCUGUGCUCCUUGCCUGGCUCACCUAUGGGAGUCAAGGUGGUGGGGCCAUCUCCGGGCCUGUCUUCAUGCCAGGGAUGAAUCAUGCGGUAGGCAGGGCGGAAGGAGUCUCUUCGUUGACAGCUCUCCAUCUGGACUUUGGAUACGGCCGGCCGUUCAUGGAGAGCCUGGGUGAGCUGGAAAGGACUGCUCGAAUCAGCCCCUCCAUGAAGGCCCGGGGCAGUAAAACACCUGCAAAGGAGCUGCCUGGCAUUUCAGUUGCAAAGGCAGAGGAGCGUCCCCCGCAACUCCAGUUCCAGCCUUCCAACUUGAGUCUAGCCCAAAGCCUGCUCUCUAAUACAUAUCAUACUUGAUAUUAAAGUGAGAAGAGGGUGAUUUAUAGGAGCUGCAUGAGAACCGUGUUCUCCUCGGGGCCAGCCUAUGUGGAGUCGACACCUCUGUUCAGGUAUCCUUUAAACGUAUCCCUAAGGGCUCCUGGAAACCUCCUGCAGCUCUGCCGUUGCGUGGCGGGACUGUGGCAAUAUGAGGCUUGCCUGUGCUAAGAGGAUGUGAGGACUUCCGGACCACAUCCCUGAAAGCAGCGCUCCUUUACAACCCCGCAGCUCUGGCACCCAAGUGCCCUGCAACUUUCUCUGGAGGGGCGCCCUUGAUUUCUAAAGCAUCCACAGCCUUGCCUCAGGCAGGACUGACCAAGAGCUGAAAAGAGAAGGCUUGGAGACUUUCUGGAAAGGUUUUGCUUCUAAAAACCAGAAACCUGGAGGGAGGAAGUUGACAAGAAAUCUGCCCUCUUGUUCUUUGCUGACUAAACCGUGUUGUCUUGUCGUUUCAUCUUUAAAAUAAACCUUUUGAGCCCGAUAUACCUCUGAGGUUCUUUCCAGCCUCAAGUUCUUGGGCAUCUUUUACCUA